UUAUAGUCCUGAUGGUAGUGGUAUUCUUUUUUUGUUUGGAAUAAGCAAGAAAAAAAGAUUUAACGGACAGCAGUAACGUGC
rnacentral:sRNA from 1 species